CUACGGGUUGCAGCAGUCGAGAAUCUUUUACAAUGCACGAAAGUGUGAUAGAGCGAGCCAGAGUGCUUUUCAAUGAAAAGCUUUUGCCAAAUGUAAAAAGUUUGGCGAAUAAGGACUGGGUAAGACGAGUGCCAGCCGCCGCGGUAAUACUCGCGGUCCAAGUCGCAGCCAUUUUUAUUGGGUCUAAAACAUCCGUAGCUUUUUUGAUAAGUUUCUUGUGAAAUUUCAUGUCUCAAACAUGAAGCGUGCAAGAAAUACUAUCUUACUAGAGACUGGGAGACGUAAGGAGUACGAUUAAGGUAGCGGUAAAAUGUGUUAAUCUUAAUUGGACUAACAACAGCGAAGGCACCUUACGAGGACAGUUCUGACAGUAAGGGAUGAAGGCUAGGGGCGCAAAACGGAUUAGAUACCCUAGUAGUC
rnacentral:rRNA from 1 species